rnacentral:rRNA from 1 species
GACAGAGGGUGCAAACGUUGUUCGGAAUUACUGGGCGUAAAGCGCGUGUAGGCUGCUCUGCAAGUCGGAUGUGAAAGCCCUGGGCUCAACCUAGGAAGUGCAUUCGAUACUGCAGAGCUGGAGUCCUGGAGAGGAAGGCGGAAUUCUCGGUGUAGAGGUGAAAUUCGUAGAUAUCGAGAGGAACACCGGUGGCGAAGGCGGCCUUCUGGACAGUGACUGACGCUGAGACGCGAAAGCGUGGGGAGCAAACAGG